rnacentral:rRNA from 1 species
GACGGAGGAUGCAAGUGUUAUCCGGAAUCACUGGGCGUAAAGCGUCUGUAGGUGGUCAAAUAAGUCAACUGUUAAAUCUUGAGGCUCAACCUCAAAAUCGCAGUCGAAACUAUUAGACUAGAGUAUAGUAGGGGUAAAGGGAAUUUCCAGUGGAGCGGUGAAAUGCGUAGAGAUUGAAAAGAACACCGAUGGCGAAGGCACUUUACUGGGCUAUUACUAACACUCAGAGACGAAAGCUAGGGUAGCAAAUGGG